rnacentral:rRNA from 1 species
UGGACGGGAUAAGUGCUGAAAGCAUCUAAGCAUGAAGCCCCCCUCAAGAUGAGAUUUCCCAACUUCGGUUAUAAGAUCCCUCAAAGAUGAUGAGGUUAAUAGGUUCGAUGUGGAAGCAUGGUGACAUGUGGAGCUGACGAAUACUAAUCGAUCGAAGACUUAAUCAA